rnacentral:rRNA from 1 species
GAUGAACGCUGGCGGCGUGCUUAACACAUGCAAGUCGAACGAUGAAAGCGGGAGCUUGCUCCUGCUGGAUUAGUGGCGAACGGGUGAGUAACACGUGAGCAAUCUGCCCCGAACUCUGGGAUAAGCGUUGGAAACGACGUCUAAUACCGGAUACGACGCGCGAAGGCAUCUUCUGCGCGUGGAAAGAACUUCGGUUCGGGAUGAGCUCGCGGCCUAUCAGCUAGUUGGUGAGGUAACGGCCCACCAAGGCGACGACGGGUAGCCGGCCUGAGAGGGUGACCGGCCACACUGGGACUGAGACACGGCCCAGACUCCUACGGGAGGCAGCAGUGGGGAAUAUUGCACAAUGGGCGCAAGCCUGAUGCAGCAACGCCGCGCGAGGGACGACGGCCUUCGGGUUGUAAACCUCUUUUAGCAGGGAAGAAGCGAAAGUGACGGUACCUGCAGAAAAAGCACCGGCUAACUACGUGCCAGCCGCCGCCGUAACAC